rnacentral:rRNA from 1 species
AGUGAACGCUGGCGGUAGGCCUAACACAUGCAAGUCGAACGGCAGCACAGUAAGAGCUUGCUCUUACGGGUGGCGAGUGGCGGACGGGUGAGGAAUACAUCGGAAUCUACUUUUUCGUGGGGGAUAACGUAGGGACACUUACGCUAAUACCGCAUGCGACCUACGGGUGAAAGCAGGGGAUCUUCGGACCUCGCGCGAUUGAAUGAGCCGAUGUCGGAUUAGCUAGUUGGCGGGGUAAAGGCCCGCCAAGGCGACGAUCCGUAGCUGGUCUGAGAGGAUGAUCAGCCGCACUGGAACUGAGACACGGUCCAGACUCCUACGGGAGGCAGCAGUGGGGAAUAUUGGACAAUGGGCGCAAGCCUGAUCCAGCCAUGCCGCGUGGGUGAAGAAGGCCUUCGGGUUGUAAAGCCCUUUUGGUGGGAAAGAAAAGCAGCAGGUUAAGACCCCGCUGUUCUGACGGUACCCAAAGAAUAAGCACCGGCUAACUUCGUG